CCAAAGACUACCUCCGCUUUGUGGGUGCUUGCUGUGCUUUUCAAAAUGUCUACGAUCAUUCCUGCUGUUCUACUGCUUGACUUUGGAUGGUUAGAGAUGAAGCAACACUAAAGAUGGACUGAAGUCGGGGUGAAGAAUGAUUGGACUUGGCGUUGGGUGCAGAAAACGGAUGACGCAGGGAUGGCACUCGGACUCCUGGCUCUGAUAACCAGAAACGGUUUGACAGAGGCUCAGAGAGAUUAGUUCACCUGCUCAUGGACACCCAGCUGGUACAUUGUGGAGCCACACUCUACCAGUCCUUCAAAAAUGGACUUCAUUCUGGAGUUGUGGUGGGCAACCUGCAUCCCGGGGGCCCUGAGAAGAGACUCUGUCCAUUUGCCAUGAGUCAGCAAGAACCAGU
ensembl:lncRNA